GAUGAACGCUGGCGGCGUGCCUAAUACAUGCAAGUCGAGCGAACGGACGAGGAUCUUGCUUCUCUGACGUUAGCGGCGGACGGGUGAGUAACACGUGGCUAACCUACCUAUAAGACUGGGAUAACUUCGGGAAACCGGAUCUAAUACCCGAUAAUAUAUUGAACCGCAUGGUUCAAUAGUGAAAGACGGUUUUGCUGUCACUUAUAGAGGGAUCCUCGCCGCAUUAGCUAGUUGGUAAGGUAACGGCUUACCAAGGCAACGAUGCGUAGCCGACCUGAGAGGGUGAUCGGCCACACUGGAACUGAGACACGGUCCAGACUCCUACGGGAGGCAGCAGUAGGGAAUCUUCCGCAAUGGGCGAAAGCCUGACGGAGCAACGCCGCGUGAGUGAUGAAGGUCUUCGGAUCGUAAAACUCUGUUAUUAGGGAAGAACAAAUGUGUAAGUAACUAUGCACGUCUUGACGGUACCUAAUCAGAAAGCCACGGCUAACUACGUG
rnacentral:rRNA from 1 species